GUCUACGGCCAUGCCACCCUGAACAAGCAGAGAUGUCUGAUUUGGGAAGCUAAGCAGGGUAGAACCUCGUUAGUACUUAGAUAGGAGACCACUAGGAAGACUAGAUGCUGUAGGUG
rnacentral:rRNA from 1 species